UACGGGGGGAGCAAGCGUUGUUCGGAUUUACUGGGCGUAAAGGGCGCGUAGGCGGCCACCGCAAGUCGGUUGUGAAAUCUCCGGGCUUAACCCGGAAAGGUCAACCGAUACUGCGGGGCUAGAGUGCAGAAGGGGCAACUGGAAUUCUCGGUGUAGCGGUGAAAUGCGUAGAUAUCGAGAGGAACACCUGCGGCGAAGGCGGGUUGCUGGGCUGACACUGACGCUGAGGAGCGAAAGCGUGGGGAGCGAACAGG
rnacentral:rRNA from 1 species